UACGUAGGGGGCAAGCGUUGUCCGGAAUCAUUGGGCGUAAAGCGCGUGUAGGCGGAUGAGCAAGUCUGCUGUGAAAGCUCCUGGCUUAACCGGGAGUGGUCGGUGGAAACUGCUCGUCUGGAGGACGGUAGAGGUAGGUAGAAUUCCCGGUGUAGUGGUGAAAUGCGUAGAGAUCGGGAGGAAUACCUGUGGCGAAGGCGGCCUACUGGGCCGGACCUGACGCUGAGACUGCCGAAGG
rnacentral:rRNA from 1 species